rnacentral:sRNA from 1 species
AGGAACUAUUGAAUCAUUUAAUUUCUGUUUGUUGAUAAAAUUUCGAUCAACUGUUCUCGGCUUACCGAUGCAUUUUUUGUAAAACCGUCUUUUUUUGGUGAAUAAAAUUUUAAAUUCAUACAAAAAAAAAACAUAUUUGAUACUAUUUUAGCUCCAUUGUAUCUGAAUCUUCA